UACAGAGGUCUCGAGCGUUGUUCGGAUUCAUUGGGCGUAAAGGGCGCGUAGGCGGCGGGGUAAGUCUGGUGUGAAAUCUCGGAGCUCAACUCCGAAAUUGCACUGGAUACUGCUCUGCUAGAGGGCUGGAGAGGAGAUCGGAAUUCACGGUGUAGCAGUGAAAUGCGUAGAUAUCGUGAGGAAGACCAGUGGCGAAGGCGGAUCUCUGGACAGCUCCUGACGCUGAGGCACGAAGGUCAGGGGAGCAAACGGG
rnacentral:rRNA from 1 species